GGGCAAGAGGUCAACAGGGGUCGGAACACUGCCAUCCAGGCUAGAGUUUAAUUUUGGUACACAGCUUCGAUCAGAAUGUGGUAUGAAUGUUUGCCAGCUUUUGGGGUAAUUUGUGGUGCAAUGUGGUUGGCAGGGAGGGGCGUUGGAGCUAUACAACGUUAUCAGAAUGGAGGAAGGCCCCGCCGAGUUGGAAUGGACAAUUUUGAUUUACGAUUGAUGGAGCGUGAUAAGUUUCUUACUGGUAAUACCUACACACAAAAGGUUUCCUGAAGCGAUGUUAACAUCAAAGUUCGAAAAGUCUUGUACAUAAUUUGAUUGUUUAAAAGGAAGGCGAUUCGACGAAAUUAAAAA